GCUCAGGAUGAACGCUAGCUACAGGCUUAACACAUGCAAGUCGAGGGGCAGCAUGGUCUUAGCUUGCUAAGGCCGAUGGCGACCGGCGCACGGGUGAGUAACGCGUAUCCAACCUGCCUUACACUCUUGGACAGCCUUCUGAAAGGGAGAUUAAUACAAGAUGUUAUCAUGAGUAAGCAUUUUCGCAUGAUUAAAGGUUUACCGGUGUAAGAUGGGGAUGCGUUCCAUUAGAUAGUAGGCGGGGUAACGGCCCACCUAGUCUUCGAUGGAUAGGGGUUCUGAGAGGAAGGUCCCCCACAUUGGAACUGAGACACGGUCCAAACUCCUACGGGAGGCAGCAGUGAGGAAUAUUGGUCAAUGGACGAGAGUCUGAACCAGCCAAGUAGCGUGAAGGAUGAAGGUUCUAUGGAUUGUAAACUUCUUUUAUACGGGAAUAAACGGAUCCACGUGUGGAUUUUUGCAUGUACCGUAUGAAUAAGGAUCGGCUAACUCCGUGCCAGCAGCCGCGGUAAUACGGAGGAUCCGAGCGUUAUCCGGAUUUAUUGGGUUUAAAGGGAGCGUAGAUGGGUUGUUAAGUCAGUUGUGAAAGUUUGCGGCUCAACCGUAAAAUUGCAAUUGAUACUGGCAGUCUUGAGUACAGUUGAGGUAGGCGGAAUUCGUGGUGUAGCGGUGAAAUGCUUAGAUAUCACGAAGAACUCCGAUUGCGAAGGCAGCUUACUAACCUGUAACUGACAUUGAUGCUCGAAAGUGUGGGUAUCAAACAGGAUUAGAUACCCUGGUAGUCCACACGGUAAACGAUGAAUACUCGCUGUAGGCGAUAUACAGUCUGCGGCCAAGCGAAAGCAUUAAGUAUUCCACCUGGGGAGUACGCCGGCAACGGUGAAACUCAAAGGAAUUGACGGGGGCCCGCACAAGCGGAGGAACAUGUGGUUUAAUUCGAUGAUACGCGAGGAACCUUACCCGGGCUUAAAUUGCAACCGAAUAUGGCGGAAACGCUAUAGCUAGCAAUAGCGGUUGUGAAGGUGCUGCAUGGUUGUCGUCAGCUCGUGCCGUGAGGUGUCGGCUUAAGUGCCAUAACGAGCGCAACCCUUGCCGAUAGUUACUAACAGGUUAUGCUGAGGACUCUGUCGGGACUGCCAUCGUAAGAUGUGAGGAAGGUGGGGAUGACGUCAAAUCAGCACGGCCCUUACGUCCGGGGCUACACACGUGUUACAAUAGGGGGUACAGAGGGCUGCUACCACGCAAGUGGAUGCCAAUCCCAAAAACCUCUCUCAGUUCGGAUUGAAGUCUGCAACCCGACUUCAUGAAGCUGGAUUCGCUAGUAAUCGCGCAUCAGCCACGGCGCGGUGAAUACGUUCCCGGGCCUUGUACACACCGCCCGUCAAGCCAUGGGAGCCGGGGGUACCUGAAGUGCGUAACCGCAAGGAGCGCCCUAGGGUA
rnacentral:rRNA from 1 species